CUGGCUCAUGUGGGAAUCGAACUGGCAGCCUUCAGGCAUUAGGAGCAGGGAGCUCCAACCGCCUGAGCCACCGGGCCGGGCCCCAGAAAGUAUUUUUCUCUUCUUGCUUUUAGUCAUCAUUCGGAAUUUGUUAGGAGAGAGGGGACAGACAAAGGUAUACUUUUAUAUUUAUUUAAUAAUCUUUUAUUGAGUACUACUAUGUACACAGGUGCUGGGGAGGCAAGUACAAUUAUGAUACAGAGAAAAGGAAGAAAAUUUUAACUUCUUAUUGCAGGCUGUUGCCUGUAGGGAAAGUAUGUGAAUCAGAAUCCUGGAAUAUUAGUGCUGGAAGGAUUCUUAGGGGUGAAUAUAGACCUUCUUACAUAGAUGGGAAAACUGAAGCCCAGAAUGGGGAAAGGGCUUGACCAAGCUGCACAAGUUAGAACAUUCAAGUGAUUUUUAAUGAGAUUUAUUAAUGAGAAAAUAGUAUUGGUCCUUAGCUUCUGAUCCAAAUGGAGGGAAGCAGGGCAAGGUGGAGUGCGUGAGAAGACAGGAGGGGGAGGGUGGAGUCAUCCUGCAAAAGGAAGCCAGGGAGCCCAGAACAGGAUCCAGGACCUUGACCCUCUCUCUCCCUCCUGGUGGGGAGAUCCUUGAAGCCUUCCAUUCCCUCAACAGAGGAAGUAAGCAGAAAAAGAGGAAGACUGGCACAUCGAACUCUGAGCCCAGCCUCCGAGCGUUUUCCAGACCCUUACUCCAGGGACUGACAGUGGAGGGAUAGGAAUUCUCUUUUCUGCCAGAAAAGUAUCUCGCGAUGUGCUUUUUCCAAGUCACUUCACCCCUCAGUUUUGUCAUCUGUAAGAUGGGGCCACUGUCCCUGCCACAUCGCAGGCCAGGACGGUAUAAGAGGAUCAAACGAGAGAAGAGUAAAGCCGAGAUUAUUCGUGCCUGGCUUUUCCUGCAAACAGAUUUCUACCCCCUCCCCCAGGACCUGUCCCAAAGAGGCGUCUGGAAAUUCAACAGAGCCAGCCAGUCUGGGAGUUAAACAAUCAGCAGCCCUACGCGGAGAUCCGCCGAGACAGAACAGCUAUUCAGACGGCGGGGGCGGACAGUCGGGACUCAUUGGACGGCAGAAAAGUCACUGUGCUGCUGAGCAGCUAGGACCUUCUGGAAAUCUGCAAUGCACAACUCGCCAAAAUCUGUCCUGGAGGAUGCCUGGGAAAGCCAUGCACGAGAUUAUUGCUCAGCCGGACUGAGUGGUGUUACUAAAACCAAUCAGCACGGAGCCAGGCAGCACCAGAAAAUGAGAACUAAUCACUUUGGCCAGCAGCCUUGAAAACACGUUCUCCUUCAUAAAGAGAUAAAAAGGCAAGUAAUUGAGCAAGGAGACCUCAGAAUGUUGUCAACAGAGGAUGAGGAAGAAAUGAAGAAAGACACAACGGGUAUGGCUACUUUUCUUUUCUUUUUUUUUUUUUACUUUGACCAUUAGCAUUAAGUUGGUUACCGUACACAUCCAAAGGCCCAGCAUCUUGGAAAUAUCAUGAAGUGGCACACCUUGUACCAGAGUCUCACAAGAAUAAAAUAGACAAUGCUACAUCAAGUGGUUAAAAAUACACAAAAAAGUAGUUUUAACAGUCUAUAAAUUUUUUAUACUUAAAAUCAUGAUUGAGUUGAAAUAAAAAAGUGCAUUUCAAUUGCUAAAAAAAUAAUAUUGGUAAAGUUAACACAAGAGGGAAAAUCAGUACACUGAGGGAUCUGACAGGAUGCUAGAAAAAAGAUGACUCAGGGAAGCGAGGCUAGUUUGGAGAUUCAGGAGGGGAGCUGUUCUACCUCACUGCGCUUCCUUGGGGCCAGGCAGCUCUCCUCUCCCUAGUAUCUUUCCCAUCCUAAGGGAUCCUGUCCUACCUACCUGUCACACCCCCAACUGAAAGACUCUUCUAAACUUCUUUGCAGCAUGAAAAGUACCUGCCCUACAUGAGUCAACUUGACCUUCAAUCACGUCUUGGCAGAGGUAGGAGAGGGACACUGCCCCCUUCUGGACUUUACACAAGUACCCCAGCCACACGGCCUCAAUCCUUAGGACUUGGCAGGCAGAACAGGGACCAAGCAGCUUCUGUUUUGUCAAACUCCUUUGGACAAAUGUUCAACAUUCAACAACAAGCUUUGUAAACCUAACACUAAACAAUUCCUGGCAAGCAAACUGGAUAUUCUUUUCUAUAAGAAAUGAGGAAAAGUGCAAGUGAUUUCAGUACUACUGGGGAAAACAAAAAUAAAACAAACAAGUUACACCUGGCCACCUGUUACCUAAACCACUCACAGCUUCAGUUUCAUCUUUUUUUUUCUUUUUUUUUUUUUUGUCAAGUGUUGGAGUUACAGGUGGACACGUCUAUCUAUCUGUAUUGCUCAGGGUCAGACUUGGCUGGGGAAAAGGAGCCAGGCAGAUAUCUGUUAGGAGGGCCAUUCCAGGUGCAAAUGCCUCCUGGCUCUACAGGAAAAUGGUUACGGGCUGGUGUUUCCCUUUAGUUGAUGCCCUGCUUAUUGUGAAGGUGAUGCUGCA